AACUGGUGAGUGUGCCAGAUAAGGUCUAUGUCAUAAGUUGGAACAGUAAAGCUCUUAAUCGAUCUUUCUUUGUUUCCAACAACAACAACAACAACCCAGUAUAAUCCCACUUAGUGGGGUCUAGGGAGGGUAGUAUAUACGCAGACCUUACCCCUACCCUGGGGUAGAGAGGCUGUUUCCAAAUAGACAACAACAACAACAACCCAGUAUAAUCUCACUUAGUGGGGGGUCUGGGUAGGGUAGUAUGUACGCAGACCUUAUUCCUCCCUGGGUAGAGAGGCUGUUUCCAAAUAGACCCCCGACAUCCUUCCCUUCAAGAACUUCUCACCUUGCUCCUGGGGAGACUCGAACUCACAACCUCUCGGUUGGAAGUGGGGUUGCUUACCAUCAGAGCAACCCCUCUUGUAUAGAUCUCCUUAUCAAAUUUCAAAUAAAAGGAAUCAUGCUUGAAGCAACGACAUAAAGAAAAAGGAAUUCUAUGUCGCUGCUUAAUGGAGUAGAUAAUAAAAUGAAUGCCACUAAAAUCACGCAUGGAUAAUAUGAUUUUAAAAAUAAUUGGCAGGAAAACAGCUGAAGUUUUCUCUCCGGCCUCCAAGACAUAUAUUAACCAUAAGAAUGGGAUGACAGGCAAAAGGAAUGACCCCUAACCUUUCCAGCUCUGGAUUUCCCUAUUAAGCACUUUCGUAAUGUGUGCUAAAUCAUUCUGUUCAUAUUGUUCGGCAUAAACUAAAUGGUUCUCAGUCUUUCAAAUAAAAACUGAAGCUAGUGAACUCUACAAGUCUGACUGCUGAUAUCCUGUGCUAUACUCACAACAAAAGUGUUAGCAUCC
rnacentral:lncRNA from 1 species